rnacentral:sRNA from 1 species
CGCCCGGCCAUGCGUCCCCUGCGCCCCCGCGCCGCGCUGCUCGCGCUCCUGGCCUCGCUCCUGGCCGCGCCCCCGGUGGCCCCGGCCGAGGCCCCGCACCUGGUGCAGGUGGACGCGGCCCGCGCGCUGUGGCCCCUGCGGCGCUUCUGGAGGAGCACAGGCUUCUGUCCCCCGCUGCCACACAGCCAGGCUGACCAGUACGUCCUCAGCUGGGACCAGCAGCUCAACCUCGCCUAUGUGGGCGCCGUCCCUCACCGCGGCAUCGAGCAGGUCCGGACCCACUGGCUGCUGGAGCUUGUCACCACCAGGGGGUCCACUGGACGGGGCCUGAGCUACAACUUCACCCACCUGGACGGGUACCUGGACCUUCUCAGGGAGAACCAGCUCCUCCCAGGGUUUGAGCUGAUGGGCAGCGCUUCGGGCCACUUCACCGACUUUGAGGACAAGCAGCAGGUGUUUGAGUGGAAGGACUUGGUCUCCAGCCUGGCCAGGAGAUACAUCGGUGGGCAAGCGCAGGCCCUGGGCCCCCGGGGUGGGGGUACUCCUGGGCAGGUUGCACCCCUAUCACGCAGGCUGCCUGGUCAGGAGAUAUAUUGGUGCGCAGGCGCAGACCCUUGAUGGGGGAUGGGGGGGGACAAGGGAUAUGUUGGUGGUCGGCGCAGGCCCUAGGGCCCCAGGCUGGGGGG